rnacentral:rRNA from 1 species
UAAUAAAAGUGGUAUCUUGGUGUGUUUUUAGCAAUAAUGUCCUUUGAAAUGUUUUUUACUUUAUUGUAAAAAGCAAUUUUCAGGAUUUUUACUUUGAGAAAAUUAGAGUGUUUCAAGCAGGCUAACGUUUUGAAUACUGCAGCAUGGAAUAAUAAAAUAGGAUUUUAGUUCUACGUUAUUGGUUUUAAGAACUAAAUUAAUGAUUGAUAGGAGCAGUUGGGGGCAUUUGUAUUUAACUGUCAGAGGUGAAAUUCUU